ACCCCCACCCCGGAGACUCUGAUGUCAUUAGUCUGGGGUUGACACCUGGGCAUUUGUUAAAUUUCCCCAGGGUGUUCCAGUGACUCCAGCAGCUAGGAUCACGCUCUAGCUGCCGUGUGGAGACUGGACUGGAGGGAGAAGGGAGAAGACGCAAGCAGGGCAGUUAGGAGGCUGAUGCGGUGGUCCAGGUGGCCUCAGCUAGAAGAUCCUGGGAACACGGGCCGGACAUUGCCAUGGGCGACUGAAGAGGUGCCUCUUUCCUAUCCGCCUGGCAGUUAAGGCAGCGACGAAGAUCGCAGCAGGGCUGGCACGCUCUGAUUUUCUCCUGAGCGCUAAGUGGAGCUGCAAGGUGACAGAACCUCCCCGCAGUGCUCGGGUGGGACGUUCCUGUUUUAGAGCCGAGUUGCCUGAGAACCCUCUGGGAUUGGGCCCCGCCCUUCAGGGAAGAGCACCCGGCAGAGUGUUGUAUCCAGGACUGACCAGCAGGGGGCGAGCCAGACUCGGAAAUGACCAUUGCUGAGACCUGGGUGAAUCUUGCUGCUGUUUCCAACUCAAGAAGGUGAUUCACUCCGGAAAUAGUAAUCAUGUCUACAUUUACUAAACAGCUAAUGUGCCAGAUCCUGUUCCAAGUGCUUUGCGUGUACCACUUCAUUUAUUCCUAAUAGCUCUGCAAGGUGGAUGUUGUGAGCAUGCCCUCUUGACCUGUACUCAGGGAGGAUAACUGACUUGGCCCAUGUCUCUCAGCUAGUCAGUGGAGGAACUGGGCUUAGUCGCCUAGCCUGUCUGACCCCCUGGGCAUGUGGCCACUUCUCUGUCAGAAGGGCCAAGAUCCCCAGCAGCUCUUUCUUGUCCCUGCUGGUGCUUUCAUUCACACUUGGGGGAGAUGCCUUGGAAGCUGGCCUCACCUGAAUGAGCAAAACCUUUGAAGUCAAACUCCC
rnacentral:lncRNA from 1 species